UUUUUUUCAAUGCUUCUUCUGCAAGGAAACUUUGACAUGCCAGUCGGAGAAGUCAGCAGACAACCUGCACUACCUGUUGAGCCACAGAGAGACUCCGAUUGCCUGCCACAGCUGAACAGAACCCCAGCUGCGAGAAGGACUAGAGCAAGACCACCAAGACAGAAGUGAUCUUACCACAGUAAAGAACACAGGCAAGGAAUGAAUAGAAAGCAUAAGCAUAGAGAAGGGCUUUUACUGCUUUCCUGUCUGGGAAAAGACAGCUCAAGCCCGCUCAUCAAGAACAUUUAUUUUGUGUGUUCAUAUGUACCCUCAACUACCCCACCCAGCUGUCACGUUUGCUCGUUCGUGUAAACUGAGUAUUUUAGAGGUCUAAAUUUCAAAAUGUUUGGAGAAAAAAACAAUAACGUACUGACCUCGAUCUUUAAACAUAGAUGUGUGAUAUAUUAUUUAAUUCUGCUUAUCAACAGCAGUGUGUAUUUUGGUUUUCAGUGCAAAUUUAUACAACAGGAAUUACUUUUACAGAUGUUUUACAGAUCAAAUUAUUUAAUGCUGCUUGUUUAGGCACUGAUCUGAAAGGUAAAUGUUUGUGUUAG
ensembl:lncRNA